CUACAUAAUGAUAUUUCACUAAUUCAUAUUUUUUCUUUCUUUUACUUUAUGAUAAAAAACUGGAGAAAUGGGUUUCAACCUUUAACCAUACACACAACUACACAUCACUCAUGAAGGAAAAGCUGUCCUACAGCUUGUAAAAAUUCAGGAAUAAUAAAAGGAUAUUUCGUAAGUUGUAAUUCAGGUACUACUUCAACAAAAUUCAAUUGGAUCUUCCGGAACUCUUGGAAAAUUUAGGCAUACAAAUUCUAUUAUCCGGCAGAAUAAUUUUGAUGAAAAAAAAAACUAGAAAAAUUCAAAUAAUGUUAUGUGGUGGAUU